GAUGAACGCUGGCGGCGUGCCUAAUACAUGCAAGUCGAGCGAACGGACGAGAAGCUUGCUUCUCUGAUGUUAGCGGCGGACGGGUGAGUCACACGUGGAUAACCUACCUAUAAGACUGGGAUAACUUCGGGAAACCGGAGCUAAUACCGGAUGAUAUUUUGAACCGCAUGGUUCAAAAGUGAAAGACGGUCUUGCUGUCACUUAUAGAUUGAUCCGCGCUGCAUUAGCUAGUUGGUAAGGUAACGGCUUACCAAGGCAACGAUGCAUAGCCGACCUGAGAGGGUGAUCGGCCACACUGGAACUGAGACACGGUCCAGACUCCUACGGGAGGCAGCAGUAGGGAAUCUUCCGCAAUGGGCGAAAGCCUGACGGAGCAACGCCGCGUGAGUGAUGAAGGUCUUCGGAUCGUAAAACUCUGUUAUUAGGGAAGAACAUAUGUGUAAGUACCUGUGCACAUCUUGACGGUACCUAAUCAGAAAGCCACGGCUAACUACGUG
rnacentral:rRNA from 1 species